GAUAUUAGGGUCAAAAGGUACAAAAUCCGAAUUAAGCUUGCUUAAAUGAGGAUUUUGACCUUGAGACCCGUGAAACAUGAGGAAGAAGCGAUUUUCUUGCAAAGCAAGGAAAUCAGCGGAUUCCGAAUGUUUCAGAAUCGCGAGAGUUGCUUAUGCAACGAAGCGAUUCGUA
rnacentral:sRNA from 1 species